CGAGGCGGCGCGGAUGUUCGCCGAACAGGGCUUUGAGGUCUGGGUGGUCGGCGGACCGGGCGAAAAAGCCAUCGCAACCGAGAUCGUGAACUUUGCCGGCCCGCGCGUGCGCGAUCUCACCGGGACCGAUCUGCGCAACGGCAUCAUGGCGAUGGCGGCGGCGAAAACGGUGAUCUCCAACGAUUCCGGCCUGAUGCACAUCGCUGCUGCUAUCGGCACCCCGGCGAUCGGUAUUUUCGGCCCGACCAGCCCCUAUCAC
rnacentral:misc_RNA from 1 species